CCAGGUUGAUUCUGCCUGACGUAGACGCUAUUCCCUAAGAUUAACCCAUGCAUGUUUUUGACAUUUGAAAAAUGGACUGCUCAGUAAUACUCACUUUAUUUUAUGUAAAUUUUUAAUUAACUACGUUAAAGUGUAGAUAAGAUGUUUACAGUAAGAGUGAGACCUAUCAGCUAGUUGUUAAGGUAAUGGCUUAACAAGGCUGUGACGGGUAACGGUAUUACUUUGUAAUAUUCCGGAGAAGGAGCCUGAGAGGCGGCUACUAAGUCUAAGGAUUGCAGCAGGGGCGAAACUUGACCUAUGGAUUUUAUCUGAGGCAGUUAUGGGAAGUAAUAUUAUAUUGUUUCAUAUUUUAAAAGUAUAUGAGGUGAUUAAUUGGAGGGCAAAUCAAGUGCCAGCAGCCGCGGUAAUACUUGUUCCAAGAGUGUGUAUGAUGAUUGAUGCAGUUAAAAAGUCCGUAGUUUAUUUUUUUAAGAAGCAAUAUGAGGUGUACUGUAUAGUUGGGAGAAAGAUGAAAUGUGACGACCCUGACUGGACGAACA
rnacentral:rRNA from 1 species